UACGUAGGGUGCAAGCGUUGUCCGGAAUUAUUGGGCGUAAAGAGCUCGUAGGCGGUCUGUUGCGUCGGCUGUGAAAACCCGGGGCUCAACUCCGGAUCUGCGGUGGGUACGGGCAGACUAGAGUGAUGUAGGGGAGACUGGAAUUCCUGGUGUAGCGGUGAAAUGCGCAGAUAUCAGGAGGAACACCGAUGGCGAAGGCAGGUCUCUGGGCAUUAACUGACGCUGAGGAGCGAAAGCAUGGGGAGCGAACAGG
rnacentral:rRNA from 1 species